UUAACACAUUGCAAGUCGAACGAACCUUCGGGUUAGUGGCGGACGGGUGAGUAACGCGUGGGAAUCUGCCCUCAGGAGGGGGAUAACGGCUGGAAACGGCCGCUAAUACCCCAUAUGCCGAGAGGUGAAACGAAUUUCGCCUGAGGAUGAGCCCGCGUCUGAUUAGCUAGUUGGUGGGGUAAGAGCCUACCAAGGCUUCGAUCAGUAGCUGGUCUGAGAGGAUGAUCACCCACACUGGGACUGAGACACGGCCCACACUCCUACAGGAGGCAGCAGUGGGGAAUUUUCCGCAAUGGGCGAAAGCCUGACGGAGCAACGCCACGUGAGGGAUGAAGGCCUCUGGGCUGUAAACCUCUUUUCUCAAGGAAGAAAAUCUGACGGUACUUGAGGAAUAAGCCACGGCUAAUUCCGUGCCAGCANNNCCCGGUAAUUAAAA
rnacentral:rRNA from 1 species